AACGAACGCUGGCGGCAGGCUUAACACAUGCAAGUCGAGCGCCUCGCAAGAGGAGCGGCAGACGGGUGAGUAACACGUGGGAACAUACCCUUUACUACGGAACAACUCCGGGAAACUGGAGCUAAUACCGUAUGUGCCCUUUGGGGGAAAGAUUUAUCGGUAAAGGAUUGGCCCGCGUUGGAUUAGCUAGUUGGUGGGGUAAAGGCCUACCAAGGCGACGAUCCAUAGCUGGUCUGAGAGGAUGAUCAGCCACAUUGGGACUGAGACACGGCCCAAACUCCUACGGGAGGCAGCAGUGGGGAAUAUUGGACAAUGGGCGCAAGCCUGAUCCAGCCAUGCCGCGUGAGUGAUGAAGGCCUUGGGUUGUAAAGCUCUUUCACCGAUGAAGAUAAUGACGGUAGUCGGAGAAGAAGCCCCGGCUAACUUCGUGCCAGUCGCCGCCGUAA
rnacentral:rRNA from 1 species